GUCGAGAAUCUUUCACAAUGGGGGCAACCCUGAUGGAGCGACGCCGCGUGGAGGAUAAGGUCUUCGGAUUGUAAACUCCUGUCAUGCGUGAACAAGGUUGCUUGGAUAAUACCUGAGCAAAUUGAUGGUAGCGCAAGAGGAAGAGACGGCUAACUCUGUGCCAGCAGCCGCGGUAAUACAGAGGUCUCAAGCGUUGUUCGGAAUCACUGGGCGUAAAGGGUGCGUAGGUGGCGUGGCAAGUCAGAUGUGAAAGCACGGGGCUCAACCUCGGAACUGCAUCCGAUACUGCCAUGCUAUAGUACUGGAGGGGUGACUAGAAUUCUCGGUGUAGCAGUGAAAUGCGUAGAUAUCGAGAGGAAUACCAAAGGCGUAGGCAGGUCACUGGACAGUUACUGACACUGAGGCACGAAGGCCAGGGGAGCGAACGGGAUUAGAUACCCGUGUAGUCC
rnacentral:rRNA from 1 species